AUAUAUUUAAUGUAUUUUGAAAACAGACACAAAAUAAAUUUUAAAUUGAAUUACUUGGUUGCGUAGAUAGGUGGGUGUAAGUUAUUUCCAAUUUCACAGUGUGUCUUGCUUUUGUCCUCUGAAUACCCCUGCCGACUCAAAUACAGUUCAUACUUUCCUCCCCAUUCAAGCAUUGUACGGCUUUUUCAACUUUGAAUUUAAUUACAAUUAUGAACUUUUUUCAUCUCCCAAAUCAAUUCAUUGCGAUCAUUCAUCACUUGCAUUCUCAAUUUUGGGUAACCCAACAUGCUUUCUACCAAUUCCCCCUCUUCUUGUCCUUCCCUUGCUCCCUCUUUUUCAUGAAUCAAAACCCUAUCAUCAUAUGUCUAUUUUUUUUUCACCACUCUACUUUUCAGACACAUAACUCAACAUUAUUAUAUUCUCCAUUGACCCCCUUUAUAUGUGCAAUGUUUUCCUUCUUGCAUUGCUUUUCAACUUCUUCCUAUUAAACGUGUGCCCUUUUGUGAGUACAUAGUGCCAAGUAUUUUAUUUUUGCGACUAAUUUAGGGUUUAGGAUGAUCUAUUGGACCAUCUUUAACAUAG
rnacentral:lncRNA from 1 species